AUUCUGCUUGGGAGCUGCCUCCUUGGAAGUAUUGGGAGUGAGUUCUGCCCUUUGGAAUGGGGACUGUGACCUUUCCUGUUUUUGGGGCAUCCUGACCACAUUGAAGUGCUGGCAGAUGUAAGGGCAGCAUUGAUCUCUGGAGACUGUCUCCUGUGGAGCAGGGGGACUUCACCUGACUGCCUCGACUUCUCAAAUACCACUGAGAGUGGCUCGGUGACUGCAGCGGUGAAUUCCCUCAGGGCUCUGGGACUCGUCUCAUCAGGACCCAAAGACUCCUGGAUGUCAGGUUCUCAGGUGGCUGCGGAGUUGCAGCGCUCCCGAGUGCCGUAACGACUGCAUGGAGAUGCGUGGCUCUUCGUGGGAACAGCAAGGAACCAGAAUCUGCAUUUCCUGGAAUGCCCCGGAACCUCGCUUUGCUGGCUGGUAAUUGUCUGCCCAGCAGGUGGCAGCAGAGCUGCGUUGCUCCUGAGCACUUUAAGGACAGCACGGAGAUGCGCGGCUCUUCACGGCAGCAGCAGAAACUGAAAUCUGCAUUUCCUGGAACGCCCCAGAACCUCGCUUUGCUGGCCGGUAAUUGUCUGCCCAGCAGGUGAAGAUGCCUUCGAUGCUUCCAGUCGAUGACUUCCCCCCACGAUGCCAUUGGCUUUCCUGGCCUCCCACAGUCACCGCCAGCUCAGUUCAUUUGAGCCGUUACCCCGAAUCCCCACUCCGUUCCCUUUCCAUGAUCUUCCUGUCACUCUGCCACAAGCCCCCACCAAGGUCAUCGCAGGCAACGUGUGGGAUGCAGCACUCGGUCUCAUUACAGUUCAUCCCAUCAGCUUCAGCCCAGCGAUCCAACCCACCCGCACCCUUCCUGAGGGCCCUUCUGCUCCCAGGCCAAUCAACGCUUCCUUCUGAUGCCAUCUGCGUUCCUUCCUGCCCACUUUCAGACUCGUGCCACUUUGUGGCCAUUUUGAGAGUUGCGCUGAUUUCAGCGUCUGCAUUCAAUUGACUUCAACCAAAUUGGCUUUAGCUUUACAUUCAAUUAUUGUAAACCAAAUUGGCUUUAGUUUUACAUUCGAUUAAUGUAAACCAAAUUGGCUUUAGUUUUACAUUCGAUUAAUGUAAACCAAAUUGGCUUUAAGUUUGCCUUGCUUACGGGGUUGGGUUAGCUUUGCUUUGUUUGUUCUAGCGCAGGGCUAACCCAACCCCGUAACCAAGGGCCGGUGGAGGCGAUUUUGUUCCUUCCCGGCCAGUCUGAGACUCGUGCCCCCUUGUGGCCAUUUGAAGAGUUGCGCUGAUUUCAGCGUCUGCAUUCAAUUGAUCUCAACCAAAUUGGCUUUGGAUUUGCAUUCAAUUGACUUCAACCAAAUUGGCUUUAGUUUUACACUCAAUUAUUGUAAACCAAAUUGGCUUUAGUUUUACAUCCAAUUAAAUGUAAACCAAAUUGGCUUUAGUUUUACAUCCAAUUAAAUGUAAACCAAAUUGGCUUUAAGUUUGCCUUGCUUACGGGGUUGGGUUAGCUUUGCUUUGUUUGUUCUAGCGCAGGGCUAACCCAACCCCGUAACCAAGGGCCGGCGGAGGCGAUUUUGUUCCUUCCCGGCCAGUCUGAGACUCGUGCCCCCUUGUGGCCGUUUGAUGAUCUGUGCUGAUUUCAGCGUCUGCAUUCAAUUAAUCUCAACCAAAUUGGCUUUAGCCUUGCAGUCAUUUUGCAUCAACCAAAUUGGCUUUAGUUUUAUAUUCACUUGACUUCAAUCAAAUUGGCUUUAGCUUUACACUCAAUUAUUGUAAACCAAAUUGGCUUUAGUUUUACAUCCAAAUUAUGUAAACCAAAUUGGCUUUAAGUUUGCCUUGCUUACGGGGUUGGGUUAGCUUUGCUUUGUUUGUUCUAGCGCAGGGCUAACCCAACCCCGUAACCAAGGGCCGGCGGAGGCGAUUUUGUUCCUUCCCGGCCAGUCUGAGACUCGUGCCCCCUUGUGGCCGUUUGAUGAUCUGUGCUGAUUUCAGCGUCUGCAUUCAAUUGAUCUCAACCAAAUUGGCUUUAGCCUUGCAGUCAUUUUGCAUCAACCAAAUUGGCUUUGGCUUUGCAUUCAACUUAUUUCAACCAAAUUGGCUUUAGUUUUACAUUCAAUUGACUUCAAUCAAAUUGGCUUUAGUUUUACAUCCAAUUAAUGUAAACCAAAUUGGCUUUAGCGUUGCCUUGCUUACGGGGUUGGGUUAGCUUUGCUUUGUUUGUUCUAGCGCAGGGCUAACCCAACCCCGUAACCAAGGGCCGGCGGAGGCGAUUUUGUUCCUCCCGGCCAGUCUGAGACUCGCGCCCUCUUGUGGCCAUUUGAAGAGUUGCGCUGAUUUCAGCGUCUGCAUUCAAUUGAUCUCAACCAAAUUGGCUUUAGCCUUGCAGUCAUUUUGCAUCAACCAAAUUGGCUUUAGCUUUACAUUCAAUUAUUGUAAACCAAAUUGGCUUUAGUUUUACAUUCGAUUAAUGUAAACCAAAUUGGCUUUAAGUUUGCCUUGCUUACGGGGUUGGGUUAGCUUUGCUUUGUUUGUUCUAGCGCAGGGCUAACCCAACCCCGUAACCAAGGGCCGGUGGAGGCGAUUUUGUUCCUUCCCGGCCAGUCUGAGACUCGUGCCCCCUUGUGGCCAUUUGAAGAGUUGCGCUGAUUUCAGCGUCUGCAUUCAAUUAAUCUCAACCAAAUUGGCUUUAGCCUUGCAGUCAUUUUGCAUCAAAUCAAAUUGGCUUUGGCUUUGCAUUCAACUUAUUUCAACCAAAUUGGCUUUAGUUUUACAUUCAAUUGACUUCAAUCAAAUUGGCUUUAGUUUUACAUCCAAUUAAUGUAAACCAAAUUGGCUUUAGCGUUGCCUUGCUUACGGGGUUGGGUUAGCUUUGCUUUGUUUGUUCCUAGGCAGGGCUAACCCAACCCCGUAACCAAGGGCCGGUGGAGGCGAUUUUGUUCCUCCCGGCCAGUCUGAGACUUGCGCCCCUUUGUGGCCAUUCUGAGAAUUGCAAUGUCUUUGGAUGGGCUGAGAGCUGCACUGCUUUUCAGGUGGGUUGCAGUACACAACAUUCUCACAAAUGCGGUGUCACUAAUGGGGUAUGGAGGCUUUGUACUCUUUCUCUGGUUGGUCUGACGUCUAUGCGAACCAUGUGUUACAGCUGUACUGCAUAUGUGUGUGCUGCGCCUGUAAAUUGCGUCGUGCCAUGUACACAAUAUGUGUUAUGUUGCGCCUAUGAACUGUGCUAUGCCAUGUACAGAAUGUGUGGAGGCCGUGCCUAUAAACUAAG